rnacentral:rRNA from 1 species
GUUGGCUUGGAAGCAGCCAUUCAUUUAAAGAGUGCGUAACAGCUCACUAGUCGAGUGAUCCCGCGUGGAUAAUAAUCGGGCAUAAGUCCGGUACCGAAGCCAUGGAAUCACGCCUUGUGCGUGAUUGGUAGGGGAGCAUUCCGUACAGCGGCGAAGGUCGGUGGCGAUGCCGGCUGGAGCGUACGGAAAAGCAAAUGUAGGUAUAAGUAACGAUAAUGGAGGCGAGAAACCUCCACGCCGAAAGACCAAGGUUUCCUGAUCAACGCUAAUCGGAUCAGGGUAAGUCGGGACCUAAGGGGCAGCCGCGAGGCGGACCCGAUGGAAGAAACGGUAAAGAUUCCGUUACUGUCGCCGGGAGUGAAGCGGGGACGGAGGAGUGACACCGCCGCGGACUGACGGAAUAGUCCGUUGAAGAGUGUAGGUAUUCGGAGGUCAGGCAAAUCCGGUCUCCGAGCUGAACUUGACAGUACUGCGAGCCUUCGGGCAAGCAGACAGCGCGGGUAAGCAGACUCCCAAGAAAAUCCGCUAAACAUAUGUCGGCGACACCCGUACCGAAACGGACACACGUGGUCGGGUAGAACAUACUAAGGCGCUCGAGAGAUUCACCGUUAAGGAACUAGGCAAAUUGACCUCGUAACUUCGGGAUAAGGGGUCCCACAGCGAUGUGGGCGCAGAGAAUAGGUCCAGGCAACUGUUUAACAAAAACACAGGGCUGUGCGAAAUUUAAAGAUGAAGUAUACAGCCUGACACCUGCCCGGUGCCGGAAGGUUAAGAGGAGAAGUCAUCGCAAGAGAAGCUUUGAAUUGAAGCCCCGGUAAACGGCGGCCGUAACUAUAACGGUCCUAAGGUAGCGAAAUUCCUUGUCGGGUAAGUUCCGACCUGCACGAAUGGUGUAAUGAUCUGGACACUGUCUCAACCGUGAGCUCGGUGAAAUUGUAGUAUCGGUGAAGAUGCCGAUUACCCGCAACGGGACGAAAAGACCCCGUGAACCUUUACUGCAGCUUAGCAUUGGGACCGGGUGCGUGAUGUGUAGGAUAGUCCGGAGACAGCGAGGCGGGGGCGCCAGCCCUCGCGGAGUCGACGUUGAAAUACGGACCUUUGCGCAUCUGGUCUCUAACUCGCGGAAAGCGAGGACACUGCUUGGUGGGUAGUUUGACUGGGGUGGUCGCCUCCAAAAGAGUAACGGAGGCUUCUAAAGGUACCCUCAGACCGAUUGGUAACCGGUCGUAGAGUGUAAUGGCAUAAGGGUGCUUGAC